CACCACACAACACAAAACAAGCAACGAAAGCCGAAACUAAAGUCGUCAGGGAAACUUUUUCCUCCAUCCCACCAACCUGUUCGCCCUCGGCUUGGAAGCAGAAGUAGCGAGGCUCAACUUUGAACGGGCCUCUUUCCUUCCCUUCCUGUGCUGCCUUCCUUCCUCUUCCUCCUCCUCCUCCUCCUCGGAGCAUGCGGCUGCCUCACGCCUUCCUCCUCCUCCUCCGGCUUCCCCAAAGUUUAAACCCCUCGGAGACAAAGGAGAGAGGGAGAGAGAAAGGAAAGCAGCACUUCGCACCACACUUCAGGCGAGACCGUACUUUUUUCCUCUCCUCUCUUGUUGUCCUUCAGCGGCGGCGCGAAAGGAAAGGAAGGGGGGGCUGCUCCUCUCUCUCGCUUUCUCUCUUGUUCCUUCUUCUCCGUUUUCCUCAAUGGAAGUCCCUCCAGAGGGAGGGAGGGAGGGAGGGAGGGAGAGGGAGGGGAGUCGCUCGCUGCGUGCUUCGGGUCCCUCCUCUCUCUCUCUCUCUCUCUCGCUUUCUCUCGCUCUUUCUCUCUGUCCCAUUCAGACGGCGGCGUCUAAUCGCAGGGAGCAGGCCUGGGCAAACUUCGACCCUCCAGGUGUUUUGGACUUCAGCUCCCACCAUUCCUAAAACGAUAGACUGGGUUACUGUGAGUUUUCUGGGCUGUAUGGCCAUGUUCCAGAAGCAUUCUCUCCUGACCUUUCGCCCACAUCUAUGGAAGGCAUCCUCAGAGGUUGAGGUUUGUUGGAAACUAAGCAAGUGGGGUUUAUGUAUCUGUGGAAGGUCCAGGGUGGGAGAAAGAACUCUUGCCUGUUUGAGGCAGGUGUCAAUGUUGCGAUUAAUCACCUUGAUUAUAAUUGAAUAGCCUUACAAUUUCAAAGCCUGGCUGCGUCCUACCUCGGGGAAUCCUUUUUUGGGAGGUGUUAGCUGGCCCCAGGACCAUAGCCAGAAAAAAAAUAGGGGUGGGUGAAUUUUUUUUUAGCAAAUCAUGAAGAGUAGUUCCAUAAAGCAAAAUAAUAUAGAAAUCAGGCUCCAUCGAUAAACUUCAGUGGACACUCAUGGGAAUUUGGUUAACUAGUUAAAAUUCAUACGUAAACCAGGUUUUUUUAAAACCUGAAAAUUUUCGGGGGGGGGGUGAACCCCUAACCCCCCUCCCCCCUUGGCUACAGCCAUGGCUGGCCCUGAUGGAUUCAUGUCUGGAAUUCUUCUGUUUUCUGAGUGUUGUUUUUUUAUUUACUGUCCUGAUUUUAGAG
rnacentral:lncRNA from 11 species